rfam:Cordyceps confragosa RCEF 1005 scaffold_7, whole genome shotgun sequence.
GGCCUCGUGGCCUAAUGGCUAAGGCAUCGGUUUCCGGCUGCGGAGACUACCGGAGAUUCCAGGUUCGAGUCCUGGCGGGGUCG